GUGGCUAAUGGACUCAAAAUCAGGUUUGUUUCUCCCACAAACUGCAAUAACUUCUUCCCUCGCUCUCCGCUGCCACAUUGGAUGAUUGGCUAAGAGAACCAAAGUCCAUGUGAGCCACACAGAGGUGGUCUCUUGGCCGGCAAAGUAGAAUAGCUUGCACUCAUGUAUUACAUCCUCUAUUGAGAUACUGUAGCCCUCGGCAUUGUUCACACUACUUAGCUGCAACAGCAAGCCUAGCAAGUCAUCGCCGACGGAUUCUUCUCUUCUCAUCAUACUCAACUUUUUAUCGAUCAUUUCUCUUAGCAUGCCGUUGACUUGUUUGUUUAUGUACUUUCGCCUCCUGUUCUUUGCUGUUGGCAGAAACCUGAAGCGAAGACAUUCAAGAGAUGAAACAGAACCGAUAUCUAUCCUUUCAAUCAGAGUUGAAUUGAUCAUCAAAACAAUUAGACCAACAAUUACGAUACAUUUUCACAAAAUGAAACUUUUCUGAAGCUUUGAAUCAACCAUUCAUUCUAAAAUUGCUUAAUAACCGAAAUAUCCCGAUUGGUUCGACUUCUCUACUUAUGGAAUAGGAUAUUACGGUAUCUUAUGGAUAGAAUCAGAAUUGAAAGAUAAUAUCGAAUACGAAUGGGCUGAUCAUAAGUACCUGAAGCCGGGAAUAUAAGGAGUCCGCGCAGCUUCGAGUGCUAGCACGGCUUGCUCUUUUUGCAGUUCGAAUAUCUUCUUUCCCUCCUGAUAGCUGCUUCCGAAGGCAGUUCGAGAGAUGACAUCACCGGUAAGAUUCUGCAACUCGGGCCAGACAUCUAUCUCACAAGAUCCGUUGGAUUUGCUCACCAAGUCCUGCCACUUCUUGACCAUGUCAAUGCAACUGGUCAGGAAGGCCGGAAUCAUCCCCUGAAAUUGAAGAAACGGAACACAUGUUCAAUGAGAAUUAAGUACUGGAAGGAUCUUAUGUGUGGGACACUGUCCUGCGGUGUAAGAACUAGUUCUAUUAUGAGAAUCAGUUAUAUACUCAUAUUAGAUUAUAUAGAGCAGUGCAUAUUAGAUUAUGAAUUAGAGUUGUAAUUGUUGGCUUAAAUGGGUCAGAAUCCAGGUAUGUGGCGGGAGGUCAAGUGAGUCGAAUCACGUUCGAAAUGACGUGAAACUGGGUUGAGCCGAGUUAUAUUCAAAGGGGCGUAAGGCUGAGUGGGUCGGGUCAUAAUUGAGACCCGUGAGCGUUGUAUCUAUACGCUUUAAAUAAAUUGAUUGUAUAUUUCUAACAGCUUGAGUUUUUAAAAUUAACGAUUAGUGCCAACGAUUCGAUAGUAAUAGCACCUUUAAUUUCUCAAGAUGAAAAGCCGGGACAAUGGCCCUCCGCCGCAUAGCCCAUUCCUCUCCUUCAAGAACCGCCACCCCCGAUGCAAGAAGCUGGACGAGAGGGUUCACUGGCGGUUUCUGAAUCUGCCCCAGCUUGUCCGUCAGCACCUCCCUUAUCAUCUCUGGUUCGCAUAUGAUCACCCUCGGAGUCAUCCCGACCCACAUAGUGCUCAUUUUCCCUGCCAUUGCGAGGAUACAUCAUUCAUCGCAGCAGAGAUCAGUCAAUUGAACAGCUAAUUAGACAGAGUAUGCAUGCAUGUUUGGCUCUGAUCCAGACCUGCGGACUGUUGUUCGUGUUAUGACAAACGCACAAAUAAAAACGAAAAAUAGACAAACCAUAAGUAGAAAAUAAAAAAACACACAAAUUUAAGUGAAAAUCUUUUGCGGAUAAAAACUACGGACGAAUUCACUGUCGGUGUCGAAUGAAAGAAAAAAAACAAAGUACAGAGUACAAACAUCAUCUGUCGCCUCUAAGGGAAAAUAAUAAAGAAAAUCCGAGUUCUCCACUACACAGAUAUUCAUUUUUCUUUUACAAUACAUUUCCAAAUUAAUCGUACAGCAAAAACCGUCGACAAGUCGGAGUCCCAAAAUUGAAGUCGAUUACCAAUUUCGAAACACAUCUAACAAUUUGCAUAUAGCAGCAGUAGAAGCAGAUGCUGCAAAUUAAAACCUGUUCUCUUGGCUGAAAUUCAGUUCAGCUUCGCGCUUCAGCGGGAGUUUGAGAGCAUAAUCAAUAAACCAAAUAUUGAUUGAUGCAGUUUAAAAAAUAAGGUAAGUACUUGUUUGGGUUCGCUUUUAAUUUCAGAGGUCGUUAGAUCAUGUAUACCACAGGAGUCUGAUAAAGGAAAUCACACCGUAUUUCUGGACCGUUUGAUAGAUGAACGGCACGGCACGCGGCACGAUCUGGUGGGUCAGAUCGAUGGGCUUGGACCACGCUUCCUUGAUGGUCUCUAUCUCGUCCUUCACGUCCCCGUGAAGUAGCCGGUAAGGGUUGCCGCUGAUGCCCUGGCGCCGUAGCUGCUUCUCCAGCGUCUUCGGCUUCCACCACAGGGAGUAGAAGAUCCUCCAACUGCAGUACAGCAGCAGCGGGAGAGAUAGUGCAUAGAGCACGAGAAACGAAAGUUGCUCCAUUAGUUGUUAAUGCUCCUUAAUUAGCUAACACUUGUGGAGUUGGGUGGAAUGAGUGGCGCUAUUUAAACUAAACGUAUCCGAUGUUUUCUCCACUGACUUCAAUCUGGGAGUCAGAAAAAGUUGUCACAUCACCAGAGAUUGUGGACGGAUUUUGUUUCGUGGAGAGCAGGCUAUGUGACAAGGGAGCAGAAUCUAACCACUUAUUAUUGCACACCUUGACGUGAGAUGUGACAUCCGGCGACUCCUUAAUAUGAAUUAAAAUAAAGGCCGGCAAGUCCGUCACGGCUCUCAAUUAGGCCACGUGUAGCUGGCCCAUAACAUGAAAUAAUAAUAAUAAAUUCUAUAGUACAACAGUUCUAUUUCUCCAAUUAAUUAAAUUACUUUUUUAAAACUCUUCCUUUCCAAUACGAUUUUUUAAAAAAAUAUUUUUAUUAUUAUUAUACGUUUUUUUUUUAAAUUAAGAAAUAUAAUUAGAUGGAUAUAGAUAAUAUAAUGUGACUGCUGUAUAGUAGACUUCCUUCAUGACAUGGCACGAUAAGGUUUAUACUGAGCAACACGCUGGGUUAAUUUUUUUGUUUAGUUUUAAAAGUUUUUUAUUUUUCUUAUUGCAAAUAUAAUUUAAAGUAUUCAAAUUUCAAAUAUUUUUAAUCGAAGAAACUUUUUUUAUAUAUAUUUAUACAUAAUAAAACAAAAUUUAAAAAAGAUUUUAAAAAUAAAAUUAAAAGAAUUUCAAAGAAAAUUAAUAGCAAGCUAGUAACUGUUUCAAGUCAAAAUUAUCAAUCCCCAUAAGAUUAACUUGAUUUGUUUUUCCUCUGACUUACACCAUCUUUGUUCUUUAGCCAUUGCUUCAAGCCAACUAUGUGAGUUGUAACUAUGCAUUAAUUAAGUUACAUUAAAUCUCCAAGAAUUGAACACCGUGAGCACCAGUACAUAAGCGCGAUCUCACCGAAGUGGCGCGUAACCACAAUUCAAGCACAGUGGCAAGCGAUCUCGCAUGUUUUUUUUUUUUUUUUUUUUUUUUUUUUUUUUUUUUNUUUCUUAUGGGUACUAUGGCAUAUGAAUGUGCUGAUCAUAAUUAAGUACCUAAAGCCGGGAAUAUAAGGAGACCGCAGAGCUUCGAGUGCUAGCACGGCUUGCUCUUUUUGCAGUUCGAAUAUCUUCUUUCCUUCCUGAUAGCUGCUUCCGAAGGCAGUUCGAGAGAUGACAUCACCGGUCAGAUUCUGCAACUCGGGCCAGACAUCUAUCUCACAAGAUCCGUUGGAUUUGCUCACCAAGUCCUGCCACUUCUUGACCAUGUCAAUGCAACUGGUUAGGAAAGCCGGAAUCAUCCCCUGUAAUCAAAGAAACGGAGCGCAUGUUCAAUGAGAAUUAAGCAUUGGAAGGAUUCUUGUAUGAGAUUAGAUGCACUAUAGAGUGUGGGGAUGCUGUACUGUGGUGUAAGAACUAGUUUCUAUUAUAAGGAUCAGUUAUAUACUCGUAUUAGAUUACAGAGAGCAGUGUAUAUUAGAGUAUGAAUUAGAGUUGUAAUAGCACCUUUAAUUUCUCAAGAUGAAAAGCCGGGAUAAUGGCCCUCCGCCGCGUAGCCCAUUCCUCUCCUUCGAGAGCCACCACCCCCAUCGCAAGAAGCUGGACAAGAGGGUUCACCGGCGGUUUCUGAAUCUGCCCCAGCUUGUCCGUCAGCACCUCCCUUAUCAUCUCCGGCUCGCAUAUGAUCACUCUCGGAGUCAUCCCGACCCACACAAUGCUCGUUUUCCCUGUGAUUGUGAGGAUACAUCAUUCAUCGCAUCAGAGAUCAGUCAAUUGAACGGCAGAUUUAGACAGAGUAUGCAUGCAUGUUUGGCUCUCCGGACAUGCAGACUAUUGUUUGAGUAUAGCAGCAGUAGAAGCAGUUGCUACAAAUUAAAACCACUUUUUUCAGCUGAAAUUUAUUUUAGCUUCACACUUCAGCAGAAGUUUGAGAGCACAAUGUUGAAGAUAUACAUUCUUUUUUUAUUGGUUUGAUCCAUGCACCGGAUCUACAGAAUAUAUCAAUAGAUCUUGAGGUUAAUGGUUAUUGGUGGAGUCCAAGAGAAGAUUUAGUUAGAUUUUAAUUUGGCCCUAUUGUAAUCCGGAUGGAUUGAAUUAGAAUCCCUAGUCUGACUUGUUGACCGGCUAAUGCAUUAUAUAACCAUGCAUGGUAGGGUCGUAUGGGAUAUAGAGAGACUUAUUAAUUAAUUUGUGGUGGCAAGUUCUCUUGAGUCUGUACGACGUCGAGAGAAGAGAAGGUGCUUGGCAGCAUCGCAUGCAACGGAAUUGAAGUCGGUGGCGGAGUAGCGGUUCUCGACCAAUUAUUUGAACGGUUCGAAAAUUUUAAAGAAACGACAUAAAGGAUUUUAGUCAGAACUUUUUUAUAUUCUCUAAUUUGGUCUUCUUGAUUUUUACGAAAAAAAAAAUCAAUAUUUUUUUAGAAUUUUCGUUGAAAUAAGAGACUAUAGAGCUCUUAAUUUUUUAUCGGAGAAGAUAUAAAGUGUAAGCUUAUAUUUCUGCUUCUUCGUAUAGUAAAAUAUAUUUCUCUUGCUGUUUCUGUGGACGUAGGUAAUUAUCGAAUCACGUAAAUAUUAACUUAUUUUUUAUAUUUAUUUUUUUUUAUCAUUCGUUCGACUUUUUUUAAUUUUUUUCGUACAUCUUUAUUGGUAGUGCAUGAUGAACGAUCCAUCCGGUUCCCAACACACAAUCAAUAAAUCAAAAAUUGAUGCAGUUUAAAAUAUAAGCUAAGUUUUUGUUUGGCUUCUCUUUUAAUUUUCCUUUUAGCACUUUAUAUAUCUCUAGCUUAAUAUUUGGCAAGCAAAAAAGCUUGAAACUUUCACUGCAUAAAAGAUUGAGCCGUAAUGACAAGCCUUUUAUUACGGGAGAGGAUGCCACGUGAACUACUAAAUAUUUUGACAAAACCAUAUAAAGGAAUCAAAGGUGGCAAGAUCAUGUAUACCACAGGAGACUGAAUCAUACCGUAUUUCUGGACCGUUUGAUAGAUAAACGGCGCGACACGUGGCACGAUCUGGUGGGUCAGAUUGAUGGGCUUGGACCACGCUUCUUUGAUGGCCCCUAUCUCUUCUUUCACAUCCCCGUAGAGGAGCCUGUAAGGGUUGCCGCUGAUGCCCUGGCGCCGUAGCUGCUUCUCCAGCGCCUUCGGCUUCCACCACAGGGAGUAGAAGAUCCUCCAACUGCAGUACAGCAGCAGCGGGAGAGAUAGUGCAUAGAGCACGAGAAAUGAAAGCUGCUCCAUUAGUUAAUGAUCGAUCCUUAAUUAGUAAUUAGCUAACACAACUGGCGUUGGGCGGAAUGAAUGGGUGCUAUUUAAACUAAACGUAUCCGAUGUUUUCUUCACUGACAUCGAUCUGGGAGUCAGAAAAAGUUGUCACGUUAGCCGUCAUUAUGGAAGGACUUUGUUUCGUGGAGAGCAAGGUAAGACGAAGACGUGUCACGAGUGGAGUAGUUAAGAGCCCAAACCAAUUACUCUAUCACUGGAUGUGAGAUGUGACAUCCGGGACUUUUUUCUUUUUAUGUUUUUUUGGGAAAGCGGUAGACUAGGGAGCGAGCCUACCUCGGCUCAAAUUCAGCUUCAAAUUAAUUUCGAGCAUAAUUUAAGCACAAGUUUGAAUUGAAAUUAAUUCGAGCCGAACUCGAGCGAGCCUAAUUUCAAGUCGAGCGAGCUCGAGCCCUAAACGAGCCGCUUGAAAUUUUCAACAUUAUACGAUAAAUAGUUUAAUUUGUAUAAAACAUUAUCUAUAAUUUGAUAUAAAAAUAUAUUUAAUAGUUCAAAGUACAAAAUAAUUAUAUGAAAUAUAGUAUUAUAAUAUGAAAAAAAAUAAUUUAUGAGUUGAAUAUCUAAUUUUUUCAGCUUCAUAUGUCUUUUCUUUCGCCUUCAAUCUCUAUAUUAUUCAUUUUCAUUUAUGCAGUAAAAAAUAAAUCAAUUAUAUAAAUAAAUAUUUGAUUAAACUAUCCAAUCAUAUAUAACUAAAAUUAAAAUUUUAUAUGAAUAAUAAUUUUUUAUUUUAAAAAUAUUAUGUAUAUUUUCUCAAGCAUACGAUUAAUAGUAAUGUAGGCAUAUGAUGUUACUUGGUAACUUAGAGGGCUACCGGUUUGGCCACUUAGGGUGAGAGACAGAAAAAAAGAAAGAGAAAAACAUAUUGAAAAUUUAGAGCUCUGUGAAAAAAGAAAGAAAAAAAGGAAAAAUAUAUAAAUUUAGUAAAAUUUUGCUCUUUUAUUUGCCUAUUGGGUUUGUUUUUAUGAGCCAACAACAUUGGCCCAAUUUAAUUAAAUUCAGAUUAUUCACUCAGCCUAUAUAUAAUUAAAAUAUAUUAUAUUUAUAUAUUUUUUUAAUAUAUAUAUUAGUGUAGAACUAUAUACUAUCGAAAAUAUAGAGAAUUGAUGUUUUUGAAUUUUUGACCUUUGAUUAAUUGUAUGGUUGGAUGCUAUUGAAAAUAUAAAGGAUUGAUGUUUUUGAAUUAUUGACCCUUUGAUUAAAAAUUAUAUGGUUGGGAUGAUUGCGCCUCCCUUAGAUUAAAUAAUACUCUUAGAAUUGAGCGGUCCCUACAGGGUAAAAUAAUAUAAUCCAAAGAUAAGAAACGAUUAAAGGGAUUGAUCUAAGAAUCAAAAAAUCGAAGCACCAGAUCUCUAUACCUUUCGAUAGCAUAGUAGCUCUACUAAUAUAUAUAUAUAUAUAUAUAUAUUCGAGCUUUUCGAACUUUUCGAGCCUAAUUCGAACGAGCCGAGUAAUACUCAAACUCGGCUUGAAAUGAAUUUUGAGCCUAUUUUUUUUGUUCAAAUUCGACUCAUUUAAUUUCGAGUCGAGCUCGAGCGAGCCAACUAUCGAGUCGAACGCAAGUCGAACGCGAGCCGGCUCGCUCAUUUGCCAGCCCUACGGUAGACAAGCUACCUGCAUUGGGGACUUCUUAAUUCGAAUAAAAAAGGGCCAGCAAGUUUGCUACGGCUCUCCACUGUGCUGAAAAAAAAAAAAAAAUCUAAAAUAUAACACUCACGUUGCCCAAAUAUUGUCUCUAAGUAAUUAAAUUCAUCUAUUUUACUAUAGUUUUUUUAAAAAAUAUUUUUUUAUUAUAUAUAUUUUUUAAAAGAGAUAUACGGUUGACUGAAUAUAAAUGGUAUGAUAUGAUUGCUAUAUAGUAGAUUUCCUUCAUGACAUGGCAUGGCACGAUACGGUCUAUACUUAGCAGUGAUGCUCGUCGACAAUACAGAACAGCAUGACCUGCAGUGCAAUAUUCUUUUUUUUAUUUAGUUUUAAAAUAUUUUGUUUUUUUUCAAAUAUAAUUUAAACUAUUCAAAAUUUUAUCAAAUUUUUAAAUAAUUAUUCAAAACUUAUUUAUUGAAGGAAUAAUUUUUUUAUAUAUUUAUACGUAAUAAAACAAAAGUUGAAAAAAAUUAAAAUAAAAUUUAAAAAUUUUAAAGAAGAUCAAUAGGAAGCUUCCUAAUACGGAUAACAGGAUUGACCGUCGGAUUAGAAUUCGUAUGUUUCACAAACCAAGAUUGAGUUUCGAUCUGACAAUACAUAUCCGUCCUAACUCGAUGGAGAACUCUGCACUAAAUUUUUUGUUCAAAUUGUGAUCUAAAUUUGCUGCAAUCUAGUAACAGUUUCAAGUCAAAAUCAUCAAUCCCAAAAAGAUUAACUUGAUUUGUUUACCUUUGACUUAUACUAUCUUUGUUCUUUAGCCAUUGCUUCAAGCCAACUAUAUGAGAUGUAAUUAAGGAUUUAAGUGUUGUGGCAUGUAUCGAAAAUUUAUCAGCACUAUACGACAUGCUGCAUAUCGGACCAUAUCUAUAAGUGGGUAGCAAAAAAUAUAUGCAUGCCAACACGUAAUAACAUAAAAUAUUUAAUUUUUUUAGCAACAAAAUAUGCUAAUUAUUUAUUAUAUAUUUUUAUCAAUUUUUUAAAAUUUUAUUAAAAAAAUUAUUUACUAAUUUCAUGAAUAGAGAGUUUUGAGUUGUGCUAUUGACACGAAGGCUGUAUCGUACAUAUAUUUUACUGGUACGAUACAGGAGGGUGGAUACCAUCCGUACCGAUAAGCACUUUAAUUUUUGGAUAUAACUAUGCAUUAAUUAAGUUAUGUUAAAUCUCGAAGAAUUGAACACUGUGAGCACCAGUACAAAAGCGUGAUCUCACCGUAACCACAACUCAAGCACAGUGCCAGGCCUACUCAUGGAAAUCAAAGCCUCCCCUCAUACAAGGCUUGAUGGUUUAUAUGUGAAAUUUCAGAGUCAAAACUUAAUUACUUUAUAUUUUCAGUUAAAUUUAUUUUUAAAAUAAUAAACAAAAUGAUAGCAUGUUACUGUCCUCUCAACAAAAGGAAAAAAAAAAGCCACAACUCAAUCAUCAACUAGGUACAUUUCUUAUUAAGAAAGACAAUUGGGCUCUUUAACACAAAGUGAAAGAUACUAUAGAUACAUUUUACAUUGAAAUUUUACAAUCCUAAUAACAAGUUUCUUCGAUUUGUUGUAGAAUGAUUUGAGCACCAUGUUGUGGCUGCAUAGUUAAAACAGUGUAGGGAGCAUGAGCAUAUGUAGGUGAGAGUUCAAAAGAGAAAUGUUGGAGCAUAGUGGCCAAAGCCAUUUUUGCUUCUAUCAUAGCAAAGCUCUGGCCCAAGCAGAUCCUCGGCCCCCAUCCGAACGGGAAGAAUGCGUUCGGAACUUUCGAUGCCUUCGAAACCCCUUCUGAAAAUCUCUCCGGGUUGAACUCUUCAGCAUCCUCACCCCAGAAUUCUCUAUCGUGAUGGAUAAGAAUUGUCGGCAGCAAAAGAUCUACGCCGGCCGGAAAGACGAACUCUCCUAGUUUAGUAUUCUUAAUCGUAGUACGAAACAAAGAGACCACCGGAGGAUAUAACCUCAGAACCUCAUAUAGUAUCAUAGUAACCUGCAUGAUACAUAAAAAAGUUUGUGUAAUGUUGAGUACUGAAAAUAGAGGAAAAUUUAGUCGAAACAAAAGCUUCUACUUACGAUCUUAAGGUGGCUAGUGGACUCAAAAUCAGGUUUGUUUCUCCCACAAACUGCAAUAACUUCUUCCCUCGCUCUCCGCUGCCACAUUGGAUGAUUGGCUAAGAGAACCAAAGUCCAUGUGAGCCACACAGAGGUGGUCUCUUGGCCGGCGAAGUAGAAUAGCUUGCACUCCUCUAUUACAUCCUCUAUUGUGAUGCCGUAGCCCUCGUUGUUGUUCACGCUACUUAGCUGCAGCAGCAAGCCGAGCAAGUCGU
rnacentral:lncRNA from 1 species